rnacentral:rRNA from 1 species
UACGAAGGGGGCUAGCGUUUGUUCGGAUUUACUGGGACGUAAAGCGCACGUAGGCGGAUCGUUAAGUCGGGGGUGAAAUCCUGGAGCUCAACUCCAGAACUAGCCUUCGAUACUGGCGAUCUUGAGUCCGGAAGAGGUGAGUGGAACUCCUAGUGUAGAGGUGGAAUUCGUAGAUAUUAGGAAGAACACCAGUGGCGAAGGCGGCUCACUGGUCCGGUACUGACGCUGAGGCGCGAAAGCGUGGGGAUCAAACAGG